GCGUCGGUAGUGUAGUGGUAUCACGUGACCCUGCCACGGUCGCAACCCGAGUUCAAAUCUCGGCCGACGCA
rfam:Salinarchaeum sp. Harcht-Bsk1, complete genome.